CCCUCAAGUUCUUGCUGACUAUGAGAAGCCCCCAAUUUACAAGCCACCUGUUUACACACCGCCAGUUUAUAAGCCCCCAGUUGAAAAACCACCAGUGUACAAACCUCCAGUUUACAAGCCUCCAGUUGAAAAACCACCUGUUUAUAAGCCUCCAGUUUAUAAGCCACCCAUUUACAAGCCUCCAGUGUAUAAACCUCCAGUUGAAAAACCACCGGUUUACAAGCCUCCAGUUUAUAAACCACCUGUUUACAAGCCUCCAGUGUAUAAACCCCCAAUUGAAAAACCACCCGUUUAUAAGCCACCAGUUUACAAGCCACCAGUGUACAAGCCUCCAGUGUAUAAGCCACCAGUUUACAAGCCACCAGUGUACAAGCCACCAGUUGAGAAGCCACCAGUAUACAAACCACCCGUUUAUAAGCCACCAGUUUACAAGCCACCAGUGUACAAGCCACCAGUUGAGAAGCCACCAGUGUACAAGCCUCCAGUGUACAAGCCACCAGUAUACAAACCACCAGUUUAUAAGCCUCCAGUUGAGAAACCUCCUAUUUACAAGCCACCAGUUUACAAGCCUCCUAUAGAGAAGCCACCAGUGUACAAGCCACCAGUGUACAAACCACCAGUGUACAAACCACCGGUGUACAAGCCCCCUGUUAAGAAACCUCCUAUUUACAAACCACCUUACCCAAAGUACCCUCCAGGCUCCAACUGAAGACACCCAC
rnacentral:lncRNA from 1 species